rnacentral:misc_RNA from 1 species
GAGAAAUUAAACUGUGAGAUUCGUCGAAUUUCAAAGAAAUUCUGAGAGUCCCCUUGGGUUUGAAUUACUAUUGGAAAAUGUUCUCUGGUACUUACGUUCCACAGGAUGGUUAGUCGAUCGUUCAGGCGAACAUGUUUGAGCCAGCGCGCGUUAUUUUAAGGAAGCUACGUACACGUACACACACACACUAGAGAACGCGAAACAAAAAUCACUAGACGUUGCAGAUGCAUAGAGGCAGGCGCGAGACAUACGACGCCCAUGAAACUUCGAUGACGACUGAGUUCGCUCACGAUUUCAAGGGAGCUGUUGCGAUGAAAUUGCCCUUCUUUCCAACUCAUCCCUCGGAAAAUCACCCUGAACAAGUUCAGUAGUUGCCGGGCAAGCAUGCAGAGUGCGAGAAACGAGCGGAAAUCAGCGCAGCCAAGACCAGUUACAAGCGUUAUUCCUUAAUUGCACCGUUGAAUGCAAGAAGGGCCCCCCCCAGUGUCGGAUGUUAGUUUCCAUAAAAGUGUCCCUGAGCGAAGUUAUAUGUUCUUGUAACAUCGUUUAAUGUAUUUAAAAAUCCAAUAUUUCCUCUUUAUAACUUCUAACGAAUUAAUUACAAUAGUACUUUAAUCUCUCCGAUUCAUUUU